rnacentral:rRNA from 1 species
CCUACGGGAGGCAGCAGUGAGGAAUAUUGGUCAAUGGGCGCAAGCCUGAACCAGCCAAGUCGCGUGAGGGAAGACGGCCCUACGGGUUGUAAACCUCUUUUGCCGGGGAGCAAGCCUGAGCACGUGUGCCCAGGCGGAGAGUACCCGGAGAAAAAGCAUCGGCUAACUCCGUGCCAGCAGCCGCGGUAAUACGGAGGAUGCGAGCGUUAUCCGGAUUUAUUGGGUGUAAAGGGAGCGCAGGCGGCGCGUUAAGCCUGGUGUGAAAGCCCGCGGCCCAACCGCGGGACUGCAUUGGGAACUGGCGCGCUUGAGUGCCGGAGGGGUAGGCGGAAUUCCUAGUGUAGCGGUGAAAUGCGUAGAUAUUAGGAGGAACACCAGUGGCGAAGGCGGCCUACUGGACGGUGACUGACGCUGAGGCUCGAAAGCGUGGGGAGCAAACAGGAUUAGAUACCCUUGUAGUC